ensembl:snRNA U6 U6 spliceosomal RNA
UUGCUUCAGCAGCCAGUAUGCUAAAAUUGAAACAAUACAGAGAUUAGCAUGCUCCCUGCAUAAGUAUGACAUGCAAAUUCAUGAUGUUUUCCAUAUUCUU